GUCUAUGGCCAUACCACCCUGAACACGCUGGAUCUCCUCUGAUCACAGGAGCUAAGCAGCGUCGGGCCUGGUUAGUACUUGGAUGGGAGACCACCUGGGAACACCGGGUGCUGUAGGCU
rnacentral:rRNA from 1 species